AAUUACAUAUGUGAAAAUUAUUUACAUAUGUAUAUUCCAUAUUAAUUAAAAAAUCGUUUAAUGUGUUGUUUUCAAAAUUUAAUUAAUGCCAAAAAUUUAUCGCUAAUGAAGUACCGGGCAGCAAGCCAAUUUUAAACACCGUUUUCAUCCCUUCAUUACCCGAAUUUCUAAAAAGUACCGAAAGGAUUUCUAAUAGACUUUAAUUAUAAUAGGAUAAAUUUAAAGUUUUAUUUGCAUGGUCAUUUGUUUCGAACAUAAAUAGGUUAAGAGAAGGUUCUAUGGGGACAGUUUUUACCCUUUUAGCUCUAUAAAGUCUAGAUUUUUAAAAAAAGUACCAGACACCUAUCAAUUAUUUAUUUGUAUAAUAGAGGAUACAUUUGGAAUUUUAUUUAUAUCUUUGCUUCUUUAGGAGAUAUAAAGGAUACUAAUUUUAUCCUUUUUUACCCAUUUCUUCCCCUAAACGUAAUCCCUUCUUAGUGGAUCUAUACAAUGCCAAAGGAACCUAUAACCAAAAUUUCAUGAUUCUAGCUUUAACGGUUUGGGCUGGGCGAUGAUGAAUCAAUCAGUCACGCAAGCCUUUUAUAUAUAGAUUGAGAGAAGGAGAAUGGAUAGUUAGCUGCUGGUUUCAUACCUACAUCCUGUACAAAAAUAUUUUAACAGAUUAAAGUCUACUAAACUCACCUGCAAACAAAUCAACUGUAGUAAUGGGCGUCACAACAGUACUACAUUCGACACCAUUACAACUGGAACCAUUUUUUUCUUUUCCGUACACUAUCCACGGUGAACCAGAAUUCAACGAACACAUAAAUCCUAUGUCGCAAAACAGAAUUUGGAUGUAAAACCAUUUCUCUUCUGUGCGGCGAUUUAAUACGAUUAACCUUAGAAUCCAAUACGCAUAUAUUAGGAUACAUCUCACCAAUUAAUGACAGAACAAUUCGAUUUGAGAUUUAUAUGUUGCAUACUAAGAUCAACUUUGCUAUAUAUUAAUUGUGAUGAUCUUAAGGAUCCAACCAAUUGAGUACGGAUAUUGCAGUCCUGUUCCAACAGGCCAUUCAAAAUGAAAUUAUAUUAAAAUCAAAAACCAAUUCCUCAUUUCUAAAGUUAUUUUUCCAUUCUUGAUACAGACGCAAGAAUAUCAAGUGAUCGGAAGGAAUACAUUCAAAUAAACGUUGUUUUUCUUCUUUUAUAUUAUGACGCAAUAAAUCUUUGAAGGGUUCAUUUAAAUGAUUCAUAUAGUGUGACAACUCUAAGGGAUCUAUAGUCGACAUAAAGCCCACAAUGGUUAGUACCGGAACCAAACAUAGCAACAAAGUAGCAAUCACCAUAUUUUGGCUCUUUGCUUGAUAGAAUACGAAUUUCGACUAGCCACUACCGAUGGGCGUCAACUUUUUUCUAUUAUGGAUUAUUUCAUGGCAGAAUAAUUUGUCCAGUUUGUUUUUUCAACUUUAGCAGUCGUUUUCAAAACAAUAACAAAAAGCCAUCACUAUACCCCCAAAGAAUAUCAAGAAGAUCUACAUAUGUCACAUUUAAAGC